AACAAUGGCCUGACUGUUUCUCUGGCAAUAUGCAUGGCCACAUCCUUCAGCUGUGUGUAAUCCAAGCUGUAGCCUCUUUUAUCCAUCUAGAACCCAAGAAUGCUACUUUGUUACGAGGCAGUGAGGUUCACUUUAACUGCAGCACUGAUGAAUCCUGGGAUGUCAUGACGUGGCUGUUGGGUGGAAGAACAGUCCUCACCAUCUCAGUGGAACAUGGUCCUCUAGGCAGAGAUGAGCAUGUGUCCACAGUCAAUCACUCCACCUCAUCUCUCUCCAUGUGGGAGUUAGUGCUGAUGAACGCUUCCUUCAGCUCCAUUGUACAGGAAGUCAUAUGUGAACUGCUGCCUACAAGACUUGGCAGAUCAUCAUCAGCCCUGUUUGUACAAGAAAAAGGAAAUGUCAGGAUUUUGGAGAGUGAUCUGUCCGUUCAAGAGGGGAUGCUUGUCACCUUCCAUUGCCAAGCGAGUGGCUGGUAUCCGGACCCUUCAGUGUCCUGGGUGGUCAGUGGCACCACUGUGGACAGAGGCGACUACAACACCAGCAGUCUCCAGGACCCCAAUGGCCUUUUCAACUCCACCAGUGUGCUUCAGAUAAAAGCAGAGACAAGCAGCUCAGUGGAGUGUUGGGCAUCUGUGUCUGCCGCUGUAGCCCACCAAAGCAACAGUGUCAAGCUGACUGUAGUGGCACCGAAAGCUCCACAGGACUACACAGUUGUGAUCGCCGUGAUAGUGUCUGUGUGUACGAUCAUUCUGCUGGCAGUCCUCAUCCUGAUCUUGUACUAUAGAAAAAAACUGUCAAAAUCAAGCUCUGGAAAUAAAGUCAGUUCCUCCUCGUGGACUGUCAAUUUAAGCAGACGGAGGAGGUCUGUUGCUGAUGAAACCAGAGGAAAAGUUAACCCAGGAUACCAUGCCGAAGACGUAACAAGUUCAGGACACCAUGACCUCAGGAAUAGAGCUGACAGCACGAUAAACAUCAUCAGCCCUCCACGGGUUCCUGAUAUUGUCAUUUUCAGCACUCAAAAUCAGAAAGAGGAAGAUUUUUCUAACCUCUACUGUAAGGGAGCAAAGACAGUCCGCCGGGUCACCACUGUUUGACCUCAGGGUCGACCUCACAUAAACCUCCCACUGUAAGAAAGAAACAAAGGUCAUAUAUGCUGAAAAUGAAGAUGCAAUGGCUUGCAUAUCUAGAGGAUGGGGAUCAUCACAUGAGACCUUCAGUAAUGUCAACUACAUGCAGCAUUCACAGUCAUGAUUGCUGUUAUAUCAGUCACGUCAACAUUGUAUAUGCAUGUUUUUUUUUGUUUUUUUUUUGUUACUUCAAAAAAUGUUAUGUAAUAUUUUUGCACUAUUUUGUAAUGGUGUUCCAUCUUAUUCAAGUGGAAAAAUGUUUAAGUUAUUUACAGUAUUCGUAUCUGUAUUGGUAUAGAGAGCUGCGGUGAUGACAUAUUUUUGUAGGCUAACCUGGAAGUCAGCAUCACCCUGUCUCCCUAGGGUCUUUCCAUUGGCUUUUGGAUUAUUACAGAAAAUAAACUCUGUGACCAACAAAGAGUUUGAUUCUUA
ensembl:lncRNA